UACGUAGGGUGCAAGCGUUGUCCGGAAUUAUUGGGCGUAAAGAGCGUGUAGGCGGCCCGAUUAGUCCGCUGUGAAAGUCCAGGGCUCAACCCUGGAAUGCCGGUGGAUACUGUCGGGCUAGAGUCCGGAAGGGGCGAGUGGAAUUCCUGCUGUAGCGGUGAAAUGCGCAGAUAUCAGGAGGAACACCGGUGGCGAAGGCGGCGACCUGGUCCUUGACUGACGCUGAGGCGCGAAAGCGUGGGGAGCAAACAGG
rnacentral:rRNA from 1 species